rnacentral:rRNA from 1 species
AAAAACAUGUCCUUUUGGUUUUAUUGAAGGUCUGACCUGCCCAGUGAUUAAAGUUUUAACGGCCGCGGUAUACUGACCGUGCAAAGGUAGCAUAAUCAUUAGUCUUUUAAUAGAGGGCUGGAAUGAAAGGUUUGACGAGGAACUGACUGUCUCACUUUAUUUGUUUUAAAAUUUAAUUUUUUAGUUAAAAAGCUAAAAUUUGAUUGGAAGACGAGAAGACCCUAUAGAUCUUUAUACAUUUUAUGUAAUUGUUUUUAUAUUAUUAUUUUAUAUUAAAAUUGUAUUUUGUUGGGGUGACAAAAAUAAUAAUUAACUUUUUUAUUAUCAUUACAUUUAUAUAUGAAUAUUAGAUCCAUUAUUAUUGAUUAUUAGAAUAAGUUACCUUAGGGAUAACAGCGUAAUCUUCCUCCAGAGUUCAUAUUUACAGGAAGGCUUGCGACCUCGAUGUUGGAUUAAGAUAAUAAUUAGGUGUAGCCGCUUAAUUUAUGGGUCUGUUCGACCUUUAAUUUCUUACAUGAUCUGAG